GUUGGACCUGUAACCGACUGAGCCACCCAGGCGCCCCUCAAGGACACAGUGACACACAUUUCAGUUUGGGCAAGGGACAAUGCCAGAAGACUGUGGGGAAGAAGAGCUCCUGUGCAGAAGUGGCCAAACGUUAGCAGAGAGAGACAGAGACAGAGAUAUAUCUCAACAAAGCUGUCACUGAAGAAAGAAAGGACUAAUUGAUGGAAAGAGGCCUGGAGGAUGUAAGAAUGGCGAAACCUCUAUGUCAUUGGAAGACCUAUGUGGAGUGGCUCUAAGACAGACAAGAGGAGAGAACAGCUGUGAAG